AUGUUAUGGUGUGGACAUAUCCUAAACAAAUCAUUCAAUCGCUCCCAUACCUCAUAAUACCUUUCCCCAUCCCCUUGUGAGAAUUAAUGGAAUGAAGUUCUCAUUAC